CAGAAGUGACUUGUUUGGUCUCUGAUUCUUGCACUCAGGCACAAGACAACCUGACAUUUCAGGAGAUGGUCUGUCAGAAUUGGAUCUCUGAGUGGGGUGGCUCUUGAUAGGGAUCCCUGUUAACUGUGACUAGAAUCCUGAGAAGAGAAAAACCUUCCUGAAAUGGGCAUAUCCCUGGCUGGCCUGGAACCAACCUUUCGGACUUAGGACUAUGGGAAGAAUAGGGGGAGAUUCUCUAGUGAUGAUAAUACAUGAAUGCUUUAAAAGCUAGAACAGGCGUCCCUGGGUGGUCUUGAACUACUCACCGUUCGGUUAAUAGCCGAACGCUCUGACCGAUUGCGCCACAGAGACAGGUACUAGCGAUUCCACUGGGCGCUAUAGGCAGGGCGCACUCACCGAACUCCCCAAUCCCUUCCAGCCUCAGAGCCCGCCUGGCAGGACUACUGAGCAAGGCCUUGGAAAAUCGGAGCGAUUAGAGCGAAGUGCUUCGGUCAGGCAGUAUCUUUGAAAAUAAUUUGGCCAAUGAAAGCCCUGGCAUUGGAUGAAAGUGCUAGCUGCUGGGAAUGCUACCCCUCCUUUUGGUUCUCUUUCAAGUCCUUCAGGUUCAAACAAUACAGAAGUGUAUAAAGUAAGAAUUGAAAGUCUCUUCGCUGCUCUAAUCUCACUCCUCAGAGGUGAUCACUGAUUAUCAUCCCAGAGCCCUCCCUGAAGCCCACACACAGCUUCUUCAGGAAAUGCUGACAGCAUGGACCUGAGUGAGCAGAAGGCUUUUCAGAAUUACAGCCUGAACUAUUUCUUGAGCAAUUUGGGAACUCAUUUCUAAAGCAGUCCUCAGAUUCACACAACGUAGUUUGUGACGGAGUAUGCCCAGAGCAGCUGUCUUGUUGAUGGGGGUGCACCCUGACGAAUGGUGUGCUGGCAAAGAUUUAACAAAAGGCUCCAGAGGAGGGCAGACUUGAAGUGGAGCCUUCAGUGGGCAGUGUGAAGGGUGCUGAUUUCAAACAACUCAUCUGGUAUGACUGAACAUGAAGUUGGGAAGAGAUGUGCAUAAUUGAAGUGGGUGAGAGCCAGUCCAGCACCCUGCAGAGAGUGUGGAAGAUGAUCAAAGUAUGACAUUUCUUCUACCCCAGAGGCUGGCAUUUCUGCAGGCACAAAUGAGCUUGGUUUUCAAGCACUGCUCUUUGAACACAAGGAAUUCCUUUAAUGAUCACGCCGGACUAUAUAGACUUUGGAAUCAGACUCUUUGAAUUCCAGCUCUGCCAUUUACCAACUUUGACACUUUGGACAACGUCUCAUUCUGUCACCCAGGCUGGAGUGCAGUGGCACAAUUAUAGCUCACUGCAGCCUCAAACACCUGGGCUCAAGCAAUCCUUCCACCUCUGCCUCCUGAGUAAUUGGGACUACAGGCAUGUGCCACCACACCCAGCUAAUUUUUAAUUUUUAAUUUUUUUGUAGAGAUGGCGGUCUUGCUAUGUCACCCAGGCUGGUCUUGAACACCUGGCCUCAAGUGAUCCUCCGGCCUUGGUCUCUCAAAGCUCUGGGAUUACAGACAUGAGCCACUGCACCCGGCUCUAUCUCCCCUUCCUAUGUGUGUUAGCUCUAGAACAAGAGAAGCCUUGUUGAGAUUCCUGGCUGCCCACCCCCCAUCACCUCUCUGACUUUGGGCAAGUUGCCUGGCCUCUCUCAGCCUUUAUUUUCUUUUUGUGAAAUGGGGAUAAUAAUAGUACUUGCCUCAUAGGCAAAAUGUUGUGAGAACUAAACGAGAAAAUGCAUGUAAAGCACUUGGCACUUAGUUCUUUUUAUGAUUAUAAUGAUAAUCAGACACAAUAAAUUAUGUCUCACAUCACAUGCUGUUUAGCCUAUUCACUGUUCUAUUUUUCCUGAAGUCAGUUCAGUGUGUAGCAUCCAGAAUUGAACAAAACACCCCCGAUGUGACCUGAUAGUGCAAAGUAAACUAUCAUCUCCUUCAUUCUAGGUAUUAUGUUUCUAUUAAUGCAGUCUAAAGGGUUUUGGAAAUCUGGAUUGUAGCAGGGCAUUGUAAGUUAAAAAAUCAUCUUCCCAUUCUGUUCUUUGCAAAGAUAUUUCUGUUCCUUAAAUUUGUUGAGGGUAAGAGAUUGCAGAUUGCUUCUGUGGACUUCUUGAAGGUGGAUCUGCCUGUUGGUGGAGAACCCUAGACUGCAUGCAGCCAUGCACAUGAUCUGGAGACACAGCAGGUUGUACCAGAAGCAGGGCUGAGGAGGCCUUAGGAAACUUAAAAUCAUGGCGGAAGGCAAAGGGGAAACAGGUCAUCCUCAGCAUUUAUACUCUCUCUCCUUUUGUGCCCCCAUGGACCAAGUUAAGAAGGUGUAGGCUUCAAAUCUUAAGAUCGGUCACCACAAAAUUCAAAAAGACAAGGUCUUUGUCUGUUGCUCAGGAUGGAGUGUAGUGGUGCCAUAGCACACUGUAAUCUUGAAUUUCUGGACUACUGGCAUACACCACCAUGCUUAGGUUCGGGCCACAACAUCCGUGACUUUACCGGUUUUGGUCUCUUCCUUGUAACUUUCGGCUCCAGGAUGCUGCGCAGCUCCUCUCUGCACUAUCUAUCAGAACGUUGCUCUGCGUGCUUGAAAGUUUCGCCAAACAGAAGUACACAAAAACAAACAGAGGCGAAACACAAAUCCCCUCAGCCCUGGAGGAAAAGGCCUUGAAGCUCUUCCAGUGCAGAGGCCACGCAGAGGACAUGCUCCUACCUGUGCACAUCGGCCACGCCUGGGGUGCCUCCUGGAGUCCAGGCUGCUGGCGAUGGAAUCCAUCAUGUUGCUGAUGUCACUACUCUCAACUCCUGAUGGCAUCAGAACACAGGCAGCAUCAAGAUCAGGCUCAAGAUGCAGGAUUUUAUCAUCCAAAUCAGGCCCACAUAUGGAUGAAACCCUUCAGGUAUUCUGCACAUCUCUCAGGAAACCCAGAUGAAAUUGAGUGCCUGCUGCCCACAUCAGCAACCCAGACAUCCCACUUGAUUCUGCUUCUGGAGCCUAAGAUGGGAAAAUGGCAGGUGUCGCAGGUUGCAGGGGAAGGUCGGAGACCAGUUGAGGGCCCCGGAGUCUGUCUGGAAAGAGUUUUCCAUCCAGCCCGUCUCGGUUUCCGCAUCCGUGUGAGUCCUUUAUGACGUCGGGAAUGCCAAGGUCUGAGUCCUUUAUGAUGUUCAGGGUGCCCCGGUCUCACCCCGGGAGCCUCCUCGCUCCGGCCUGCUCCUGGCUACCCGGUGGGCGGCUCUGGCCCCAGCGACCCGCUACUGUUUCUCCAUGCGCUGCCACUUCGCAAAGGCACAUCUCUAGGUCAGUGGUCAGCUGCAGCCAGGGCGCUGCAACUCGCUCCAGGACUCGGGAAUCAGGGCCUUGGUGGGCCUCGCAGAGUGCUGGGUGUGUCGCCUGCGGGCUCCUCUUUUGGAGAAAGGAGGGAGGGAAAGGCCUUGUGAGACGACUCCAGGAGCGACCAGCGACCCCCACAAGGCCCAAGUCCUCCCAGCGCACUCAGAAACAGUCACUUAAAUGGCAAUAAGGUUGAGAAAGACUCUCCCGUGCCCCCGUGCUGGUGUAGUGGCUGUGAUUCAGUCCUUUCACCACCGCAUCCCGGGUUCGAUUACCGGUCAGGGAGUUGUUUUGCACUGACUGCCCACCCGCAGUAAUCUUUCUUUACUCCGCUGUCAGCCGGCCUGCUCCAAGAGCCAGAGGCAGAAGAGUCUCCCUGCAAGGUGCAAACCCUGGCGAAGGAGGGCAAGUCCUGGUGGACGGCCUCUCAUGACACACCCUCUUAUUUAUCUCCGUGUCCACCAUUCGCAGAAGGGGCUUUAGAGAGCGACUGAGCGUCUCGCUCAGGUGUACACCACCGUGCAGAGAUGGCAGCUCUCCUGGAGGUGUACCCAAGAAGCCCACCAUCUUUGCCGCCUCCGCCAUCCCAGAGGCGCCGAUUGGGCUGAGCUGCAAAUAACUAAGAGAGAGAGAGGCCAAGCCAAGUCGUGGCGUUUGUGUGCGGCACACGUCGUCAGCUGACACAGGCGGUCAGCUGAGCCUCCUCACCUCAGUUCGCAGCUAACAUGCUUCUUAGGCCUUCGGAAGAGGCGACAGGAGGCGAUGGCCGCGAGGUUGGGAGGGGGGUGAGCGGCGGGUGAGGUCCUCCAGGACCGCCCAUUUAUUGACUGGGUGGUACAGGAGGGCGAUGUUCGCUUACCCAACAACGACAGCAGGUGGAGUAGGCACUAAUGGAAAACUGUGGCCGGUGCCCUAAGCAGAAGGCAGGUGUAAAAAUCACUAGGACAUCAAAGGGAUAGUACCACAGUCAAAUCCCGCAAUGUCUGUCUACACUCUACCAAGCAAUUGUGCACCCUCCCCCUUUUCCAUUCAGUACUCCCAAGAAGGGUUGGGACGAACCCUGUGUCCACUGUAAAGCUCAGGGGAGAGCGGGAGCGAGGGAGGUGAAGUGCACAGACUGGGCAGAGGCGGCGGGCAGAACUGCGGGGGUGAGAGGGCGCGGUGGCUGCGGGGCGGGAGCCUCUGCUGAAAGGAGGCCUGGGUUGUCCUGUGGGUGACUGUUGGUGGAAUCUUUGGCAGCGAGUGGUUGGAAGAAUGGCGACGGGCGAGCAGAGGGGAAGGUGGUGACCCUGAGCGUCUGGCUAGGGGAGAGGAGGCUGUACUGACACUCGUCUCCUCUUACCUGGCGAGGGACAGACCGUGGUCAAGAAGGGAGCUCUCCCUGGUUGAGGCUAGUCCACCACACUCCAGCUGCUCUGACCCCUGCGAUUUCCCUACACGCGGGGCGCUUGUCUGCGGUGGUGUUUGCGCUACCCGGGGGCUGGGUUCACGCAGGCUCCUGACAGUCCUUGGCUCACCGCCCCCGACGCGGAUAUCGCCGCUAGAGACCCUUCCGCCACCCUCCUAGGGAUCUUGAGGGCCUUCCUUGUUGUUCCGACUGAAGCUCACGAACAGACAGAUGUGAGCUCUCUGUCUUUUACACGUUGAAUUUGGCUAUUGGCAAAAAAAGCCCUGACCCAGAGCUUGGGACUCCUCCCGGCCUGCACACGACUUCCCGACUCUUGCCUCCUAGCGCGGCUCUUGGCUAGCGGGCGGGCAGCCUCCACCCAGCGUAGAACCGCGGCAGCCGCAGCCCCCGCAGGCUGGCGGUCAGACACUAGCAGGAAAAGGGACACAAGGCCUGCGUGGUGGGAAAGCAUGGGAGACGUCGCUUUCCCACCAGGCGAGAAGGUCUCCCUACAGUCUUUGGACAGAAGAUGGAGGGAGGCACCCCUUCCAGGAGCAAGGCGGCUGCUCCUGAGGCCUGGCUCCGCACGGAGGCUCCUGGGUCCCGCGCGCCCUCUCCCUACCGGUUAUAGCCAGAGCUGCUUCACACAUCUCAGCCGGCUUCCUCUUCCGCCUCUGCCACCUCUUCCUCCCCAGCUCGUGGGAAAGACCUAGCCUCCUCUCCAACACUUGGAGAGGGAGUUGGAUGAACGUCUCCUAACCCCAGUAGGACAGAGAUCCUGAGGUAGGAGGGGACCCCUUGCCUUGCUGCUUCUUUUGGCACCGCUGACCCGGGCCCAGGACUCCUCGCUCCUCCUGGAAGGCCUGGGUCGUGUAGCCCACAGAGGUGGCCACGUGGGCAUCUCCCCCACUGCUCCUCAUAGAACCGGAGGCAUUAUCCUGCCGGGCCCACUCUUACCCAUGAAAGAAACUUGGGAAAUGCUCCCGGGGAAGCCGGGGAUCUGGGCGCUCGACCACUUCGGUGUGAAUCUUCCGUCCGCUCAUCCUUCCUUCGGAGGGUCUUGGGGAGAGGAGAAAUGCUCAAGGACGAUGCGCUUUGCAGCGUCUCAAGGGAAACUAGAUCUCAACGGAUACCAGAAGUCUGGAGCGUCUUCCUGGAGGAAGGCGGCCCGAGGCCUGCGGUUGCAGGGAGGCUUGCGGAGCACAGCGCCCUCUCUCAGCCUGAGCUAUCCAGUGGCUUCCAGCAUCCCAGCUGGCCGACUCCACUUCCUCUCUCUUCCUCCUACUGCGGGUCUUCUUCUUCUCUUUGGGGACCGAAUCUCGCUCUGUCGCCCAGGCUGGAGUGCAGUGGCGCGAUCUCGGCUUACUGCAACCUCCGCCUCCCGGGUUGAAGCGAUUCUCCUGCCUCAGCCUCCCGAAUAGCUGGGACUACAGGCGCGUGCCACCACGCCCGGCUAAUUUUUUGUAUUUUUAGUUGAGACGGGGUUUCACCCUGUUAGCCAGGAUGGUCUCGAUCUCCUGGCCUCUUGAUCCGCCCGCCUCGGCCUCCCAAAGUGCUGGGAUUACAGGCGUGAGCCUCCGCGCCCGGCCUACUGCGGCUCUUCUAUCCUGGUGUUCUUUGAAUGCCUAUCUUCCUUUUGUGCCACAGAACCUCUCACGCCCGCCACAGGUUGCUCAUUUCCUUGGUUGUUCUGAACUUUAAAUAAGUUAAUGUAUGUAAGAGUGCCAUAAAUGCUCAGUAAUUGACAUCUGUUAUUUUCAUCAGUAACAUCAUCUGAAUCAUCUGUAUUGUCUAUUUUUAACAACUGCAUUUUUCAUUGUCCAAAUAAAGUCACAUACAUUUGAACAUUAUAUAAUGAUUGAAUAAUAAAAUUAUUCUGCUAUUUUACAAUAAAAA
rnacentral:tRNA from 1 species